AAUUCCUUGUCGGGUAAGUUCCGACCUGCACGAAUGGCGUAACGAUGGCGGCGCUGUCUCCACCCGAGACUCAGUGAAAUCGAAAUCGCAGUGAAGAUGCUGUGUACCCGCGGCUAGACGGAAAGACCCCGUGAACCUUUACUAUAGCUUUGCACUGGACUUUGAAUUUGCUUGUGUAGGAUAGGUGGGAGGCUUUGAAGCAGCGGCGCCAGUCGUUGUGGAGCCAUCCUUGAAAUACCACCCUUAUUCUUUUCGUUGUCUAACCGCGUCCCUGGAUGGGACCGGGACCCAGCCUGGCGGGCAGUUUGACUGGGGCGGUCGCCUCCUAAAGAGUAACGGAGGCGCGCGAUGGUAAGCUCAAGGCGGUCGGACAUCGCCUGUUGAGUGCAAUGGCAUAAGCUUGCCUGACUGUGAGGUCGACGGACCGAGCAGAGACGAAAGUCGGUCAUAGUGAUCCGGUGGUCCCGAA
rnacentral:rRNA from 13 species